GUUUGCGUGUGUUGUGUGUGUUUGUGUGUGUGUGUUUUUUUUGUUUUGCUCCUACUACUGUCAUCCCCGUCUCCCAGGAGGAUUUUGCACAUUGUAAAGAUGAAAUGGAUGUAAUCAUAGUUCACUGUGGCUUUAGACUGUGUACAGUUAAACUAUGGACUGUAUAAAACGUACGGGAAAAUUCCUAUGGAAAAAAAACUGAAUCCCUUGAAGAGCCUGUCCAGAGGUUACCGUGCAUGCCCAGGUUCUUUGGAGACUAUACGUGUGUAAAUUUGACUUUUAGUGUACACAAGAAAUUAAAAUAGUUAUCUUCUC